UACAGAGGUCUCAAGCGUUGUUCGGAUUCAUUGGGCGUAAAGGGUGCGUAGGCGGCGCCGUAAGUCGGGUGUGAAAUCUCGGAGCUUAACUCCGAAACUGCAUUCGAUACUGCGGUGCUUGAGGACUGGAGAGGAGACUGGAAUUCAUGGUGUAGCAGUGAAAUGCGUAGAGAUCGUGAGGAAGACCAGUGGCGAAGGCGGGUCUCUGGACAGUUCCUGACGCUGAGGCACGAAGGCCAGGGGAGCAAACGGG
rnacentral:rRNA from 1 species